CUUGAUCGAGCCCAGCCACAGCGGCUCGGUACGAUCCUGGCCGUAGGUCGCCAACAACGCUUGGGCCUC
rnacentral:antisense_RNA from 1 species